rnacentral:misc_RNA from 1 species
AAGUCGUAACAAGGUUUCCGUAGGUGAACCUGCGGAAGGAUCAUUAAUGAAUCGUUAGGAUGCUCUUUUUAGAGGUCCGACCCCUUCAUUUCCUUACACUGUGCACACACUUCUUUUUCACACACUUUUAACACAUCAGUCUAAAGAAUGUCAAUAGUCUCUUAAUUGAGCAUAAAAUAAAUAAAACUUUCAGUAACGGAUCUCUUGGCUCUC